AAACAUGACUUUGAUCUGCGUCCUCAUCUGGACUCUCCUCUGCUGCUGCUUCACAGAGUCCAGAGGACAGAUCACAGUGACUCAGCCUGGAGCAGUGAGCUCUGCUGUGGGAGGAACUGUGAACAUCAAGUGUAGCACCAGUCAGAAUGUUCAUCAUGGUUGGUACCAUGACCAGUUCUGGUUCCAACAAAAAGAUGGGGAAGCUCCUAAACUGCUUAUUAAGUUUUCCGACCAGCGAGUAUCAGGAAUUCCAGCUCGUUUUACAGGCAGUGGAUCACACAAAGACUUCACACUGACCAUCAGUGGAGUCCAGGCUGAAGAUGCAGCAGUUUAUUACUGUCAGAGUUAUCAUGAGAUCAACAGUCAAGCUGUGUUCACACAGUGAAAAACAGUCGUACAA